GAUCUAGCGUAUUUGAACUUUCCAAAAACUAAUUUUUGUGAUUUUUCGGUAUCAUUUCCCUAGCGAUCGAAAGGGUUCAAAAUCAACAAUUUUUAAUGAUUUAUGCAUGCCGUUUGCAAAUUUAACGGUGUAGAAGUAUUCAAAUCAGAUAAAAUUUUGAUAGAAAAUUCUUUAUACUAUAUACAGCAAGAUCAAUAUGUUUGAUCAAAAAUUUUAAUGCUAUAU
rnacentral:lncRNA from 1 species